GGCAAUUGAUACUCUGUAUUGCUUACGCAUCACUAACAAUGUUGUUCACCUUUGCUUUUUUUUCUUUUUAUGUAAUAGUUGGCAUUACUUCCAAAAAUGUCAAAGUAUAAACGAGCAAAAUAAAGAAAAUAAUAAUAAUUUGUUCGUUAAAACUGUGUUGAAUAAUUUAAAAUGAAUUCUGUGGCAUUACGUUCUCAGGGAAGAAUUGAUAGAAGAAUUAUUUGAGAUAAUUCUGACAUUAUGUCUCUAAGCGAUAAAAGGACCACAUCAAUUCCAGAAAUUGUAGAACUGUCAACAACCUUGAAGUUCCUCGCACAGGGCGGGUAUCAACACUCGGUCGGCCAAAAUAGGCAUUCAGGGCUAGCCCAACAAUCGGUUUCCCGAUGCAUCUUGGAAGUGUGCGAUGCCAUCGAGAAAACUCUGUGCCCAAAGCAUAUCGUGUUUCCCUUGACCAUUGAGGAAAAAAUUGAAGCAAAUAGAACCUUUUACUUGACGUCCGGAAUUCCAGGCGUAAUUUGAGUGAUUGAUGGGACGCACAUCCAGUUGAUACGACCAUCACGGAAUGAACACUUAUUUUUUAAUCGUAAACUAAAACACAGCAUAAAUGCAAUGGUGAUAUGUGAUCACAAAAUGCAGAUAAGGGCAGUAAAUGGUAGAUUUGGAGGCGCGUCGCAUAACUCCCACGUAUGGAACCUCUCAGGAGAACGACGAAAAUGGAAAUAGAAGCGAACGAAUUCUUGGAGACUCCGGAUAUCCUCUUGAACCUUGGCUGCUAACACCAUAUAGGAAUGCGCCAGAACGUUCUGAUGAACUCUAUUUCAACCAACAGUUUACAAAAGGCCGAUCACUAAUUCAACGCGUGUUUGGUGUAUUGAAAGGGAGAUUGCGAUGCUUGUUAUCUGCAAGAGAGCUACAUUACGCGCCUGAAAAAGUCGUUAAAAUUUUGAACGUAUGCUGCGCUCUACACAAUAUAUGCAUUUUGUACAAGGUAGAAGUACCAAUUAAUAUUACACUUGAGCCCAGAAGAAUUUUCACCACUAAUAUAAAUUUACCUAAUAGUGGUAAUUUUAUUACUAUUGCUAGAAACAUUAAGGACGAUAUUAAAACAAAUAUGAUAAAUGCUCGUAACUCAACUUAAUUA